rnacentral:rRNA from 1 species
CACGUAGUUAGCCGGGGCUUCUUAGUCAGGUACCGUCUUUUUUCUUCCCUGCUGAUAGAGCUUUACAUACCGAAAUACUUCUUCACUCACGCGGCGUCGCUGCAUCAGGGUUUCCCCCCCAUUGUGCAAUAUUCCCCACUGCUGCCUCCCGUAGGAGUUUGGGCCGUGUCUCAGUCCCAAUGUGGCCGUUCACCCUCUCAGGCCGGCUACUGAUCGUCGCCUUGGUAGGCCGUUACCCCACCAACCAGCUAAUCAGACGCGGGCUCAUCUUAUACUACCGGAGUUUUUCACACAGAAACAUGCGUCCCCGUGCGCUUAUGCGGUAUUAGCAGUCAUUUCUAACUGUUAUCCCCCUGUAUAAGGCAGAUUACCCACGUGUUACUCACCGUCCGCCGCUAAGUCAAUUUCGAUUCCAUCCGAAAAUUUCCUCAAAAUCGCUUCGCUCGACUUGCAUGUGUUAGGCACGCCGCCAGCGUUCAUCCUGAGCCAGGACUACGAAACUCCU